GGGUGGUUAGCUCAGUGGUAGAGCACUGCCUUCACACGGCAGGGGUCACUGGUUCGAAACCAGUACUACCCACCA
rnacentral:tRNA from 1 species